GAAAUUCAUUUCACGUAGUGAGAAAGCCAGAGGUAGGAGAUCCCAGGUUCCGCAGCUUGACAACUCGUACUUCCUCCAUCCUUCAUGCAUUGUAGAAUAGCAGCCUCCAAAGAUGUCCGUGCCCACAUCCCUGGAAACUGUGAAGAUGAAGAAUCACAGUUAAUUACAGGAAAGAGCCUCAUUUUUUUAAAAAUUUGAGAUGGGGUCUCCCUAUAUUGACCAGGCUGGUCUUGAACUCCUGGCCUCAAGCGAUCCUCCCACCUCGGCCUCCCAAAGUGCUAGGAUUGCAGGCGUGAGUAAUGGGGCCCGGCCACCUCGGCCUCCCAAAGUGCUGGGAUUACAGGCAUGAGCCACUGUGCCCGGCUCAUCUUCAUCAUUUUUAAGUGCACAGUUCAGUGACAUUUCUGCACUUACAAUGUUGUGCAGCUAUCGCCACCAUCCAUCUCCAGAACUUCUCAUCUUCCCAAACCAAAACUCUGUACCCAUUAAACACCAACUCCCCAUUCUCCCUGCCCCCAGGCCCUGGACACCCCUAUUCUGCUUUCUCUCUCUAUGCUUUUGACCAUUUUAGGUAGCUCACAAAGUGGGAUCAUACAAUAUUUGUCCUUUGUGUGUGGCUAUUCUCUUAGCAUAAUGUUUUUGCAGUUCAUCCUUGUUGCGGCGUGUGUCAGAAUAUCAUUUCUAUUUAUGGCUGAGUGGGUAUUCCAGUGUAUGCACCAUAUUCUGCUGAUCCAUUCCCCUGUUGAUGAACAUUGUGCUGCUUCUGCCUUUUUUCUGUUGUGACGAAUGCUGCUAUGAGCAUGGAUGUACAAGUACGUGUUUGGGUCCCUACUUUCAAUUAUUUUGGGCUUAUACACAGAAGUGGAAUGCUGGAUCGUAUUGUGGUGCUAUGUUUAACCUUUUGAGGAACUACCAAACUGUCUUCCACAACAGCUGCAAAAUUUUACAUUCCUACCAGCAAUGCGUAAGGGUUCCAGUUUCUCUACAUCCUUGCCCACACUUGUUAUUCACCCUCAUUCUCACCUAUUUUGCUAAGAGCCAUCCUAGUGGCUGUGAGGUGAUAUUUCACUGAUAUGCACUUCCCUAAUGACUAAUGUUGUUGAACGUCUUUUCAUGUGCUUAUUGGCCAUGUGUAUAUUUUCAGAGAAAUGUCUAUUCUAGUCUAUUCCAUUUUUGAAUUAAAUUUUGUUUUUGUUGUUGAGUUGUAGGAGUUAAAUGCAUGCAUUUAUAUUGUUUUCUUUUUGGUUUCCAAGUCAUACUAACAAAUUGUACUGUUAAGUUGAAAAUAAAAUGUGAAGAUUUAGCUCACGUACUCUUGAUAUUUCUUGAUAGUGUUGAAUACGGUGUUUAUAUAGUUAAUAGUUGCUUUAAAAAUGCCAUAUAAGUCUCAGCCUUCAUAUUUCUAGGAUUGAGAAGACAAGUGGUCAUGCCACUGAUACUCACACCUGGUACUUAAAAAAUGCCAUUCCCAAAGUGUUGGGAUUACAGGCAUGAGCCAUUGAACAUGGAUGAUCCAGGAGGACAAGAAAGUGCAAGUUUGGGAUCCUGGAAUUCCUGCCAAUCUGCAGGUGGAGGCUUAAGCCAGUACUGAUUUAAUCUGAAACCUAACGUGAAUGAAACAGCUUGCACAGCGCAGCAAGCGGCAGGAGCAGUGUCUCCAUGCCAAGCUCACCAACAUGUCCAUUUCCUUACUGGGUGGUGACUGUCUCAAAAGGAGGAUCCACGUUUGGUUUUACUUUGUAUCACCAUGACUUGGCACAGGAUCUGGUACAUAGUAGUUCUCAGUAGACGCUAGCUGAGGGGCAAAUAAGGAAUGGUACAACGUGUGUGGACACAGGUUAACCUUAUGGAGGUCAGAAGAAGGCAGAGGGGAGCAAAUGGAGUCCCAGACAUCAAAGGAACGUCCCCAAAGCCCUCCCCACCCACCUCUCUCUUUCUCUCUAACAGUAGGGUUUACAAAGAGCAGCUUAUUCCGGG
rnacentral:lncRNA from 1 species